AGUGCGGGCGCAGCGGCCCCGGCCCUGGAAGCGCCCCGGCGGAGCUGGCCUGCGGUGGGCUAGGGGCAGGGCCGGAGCCGCGGCGGCGGAGCUGUGGAUCCUUCAUGAUGAGAGAUUUGGGGACACUUCUCUCUCCUGUGUGUAGUUGAUAGUUUGGUGGUGAAGAGAUGGCUGACAGUGUCAAAACCUUUCUCCAGGACCUUGCCAGAAUGCUCGAAUCCAGCAAAAGAGAGAGGAGCAGCGUCGAAGAAGGGCAAGUAGUGUCUUGGCACAGAGAAGAGCCCAGAGUAUAGAGCGGAAGCAAGAGAGUGAGCCACGUAUUGUUAGUAGAAUUUUCCAGUGUUGUGCUUGGAAUGGUGGAGUGUUCUGGUUCAGUCUCCUCUUGUUUUAUCGAGUAUUUAUUCCUGUGCUUCAGUCGGUAACAGCCCGAAUUAUCGAGGCCCUUUAAGAAUGGGUACUGUUGUUCUAUCCAUUUUAUGAAUGAGGAAAUGCAAGUUACCAAGGUUAAACCAUUAGUAAGAGGCAAAGCUGAGAUUUAAACCCAGAUGGUAUCCUGCAGAUAGCGUACUGGUAAUCACUGUGGCAUCUCGUUACCAUCAUGUAAGCAGGUGACCCAUCACUACAUGGAGAUGUUUGGUCGUGGCUGGAAUUCUUCCUCACGUCAAUUUUCAGUGCUCUUUGGGUGCUCCCCUUGUUUGUGCUUAGCAAAGUGGUGAAUGCCAUUUGGUUUCAGGAUAUAGCUGACCUGGCAUUUGAGGUAUCAGGGAGGAAGCCUCACCCAUUCCCUAGUGUCAGCAAAAUAAUUGCUGACAUGCUCUUCAACCUUUUGCUGCAGGCUCUUUUCCUCAUUCAGGGAAUGUUUGUGAGUCUCUUUCCCAUCCAUCUUGUCGGUCAGCUGGUUAGUCUCCUGCAUAUGUCCCUUCUCUACUCACUGUACUGCUUUGAAUAUCGUUGGUUCAAUAAAGGAAUUGAAAUGCACCAGCGGUUGUCUAACAUAGAAAGGAAUUGGCCUUACUACUUUGGGUUUGGUUUGCCCUUGGCUUUUCUCACAGCAAUGCAGUCCUCAUAUAUUAUCAGUGGCUGCCUUUUCUCUAUCCUCUUUCCUUUAUUCAUUAUCAGCGCCAAUGAAGCAAAGACCCCUGGCAAAGCAUAUCUCUUCCAGUUGCGCCUCUUCUCCUUGGUGGUCUUCUUAAGCAACAGACUCUUCCACAAGACAGUCUACCUGCAGUCGGCCCUGAGCAGCUCUACUUCUGCAGAGAAGUUCCCUUCACCGCAUCCGUCGCCUGCCAAACUGAAGGCUACUGCAGGUCACUGAGUUGCCUGCCAUCCAAAGGGGAUGGGCGGGAUUGGAAGAAGCUGUGGCAGCUCUUUUCCCUGUUCACCUCCCGCCUGCCAGGGAAGGCAGGACCCGCUCUGCCAAGGGCCCUCUGCGUAUUCCCUUCUCUCUGAGGAAUUGAAAUUUUUGUCUCUGGUGCACGUAAGGCAGAAUGUUCCCUGACACCAGUGUGUGGAUUUUUAACAUCACCGUGAGUCUGAAAGGACCACAGGUUUUUCUGCAGCUAUUUUCUAGCAUUUGCCAGUCCCUGUGCCUGGACUGAUUGGAACACUUUGUUUUUCUCCCUGUGCCAUUUACCCUUCCACCUUUCCAUCCUGCCUUCUACCACCCUUGGAUGAAUGGAUUUUGUAAUUCUAGCUGUUGUAUUUUGUGAAUUUGUUAAUUUUGUUGUUUUUCUGUGAAACACAUACAUUGGAUAUGGGAGGUAAAGGAGUGUCCCAGUUGCUCCUGGUCACUCCCUUUAUAGCCAUUACUGUCUUGUUUCUUGUAACUCAGGUUAGGUUUUGGUCUCUCUUGCUCCACUGCAAAAAAAAAAAAAAAAAAAAAAAAAAAAAAAAAGCCUGAAGAGAUGAGAUAGGAGGAAAGACCUCACAGCCAGAUCUGCUGGGUUUUGAGGAGUGAUUUUCUUUCUUCCCCUUGAAGGGGAAAAAGCUAUUUUCAUUGGUACAUUUAAAGUCCCCCAACUAUGGGGAGGUACCAAUUCUGGACAAGUGCCACUACAACAACACUAAACCUGAACUUUUCAACUCCGUUGGUGGUGGGAGGCAGCGGGCAGAAAUUUACUGUUGGCCACUGCCAGGUCUAUUUCAUAUUUCAAAGGAAUAUUGGGUGCUGCAUAUAGGAACUGAAGGGGUCAAUGUAUUAAACCUGUGAUUGGUUGUUUUCCUGUCAUUUUGAGAGACUAAAUGUGGGGGGCAGAUGUCAAAAUACCUGUACAAUUUUAAAAUGUCACAAUUAAACAUGAGCUGGUUUCCCACAAA